rnacentral:rRNA from 1 species
GAGUUUGAUCCUGGCUCAGGACGAACGCUGGCGGCGUGCUUUAUACAUGCAAGUCGAACGAGGACCGGGUGCUUGCACCUGGAGCCGAGUGGCGAACGGGCGAGUAACACGUGACCAAUCUGUCCUUGGGAGAGGGACAACCUGGGGAAACCCGGGCUAAUACCGCAAGACGUGCAGCCAUCACAUGGUGGCGGUACUAAAGGGGGCCUCUACAUGUAAGCUCUCGCCCAGGGAGGAGGUCGCGGCGUAUCAGCUUGUUGGUGGGGUAACGGCCUACCAAGGCUACGACGCGUAGGGUCUGAGAGGACGAUCCGUCACAUUGGGACUGAGAUACGGCCCAGACUCCUACGGGAGGCAGCAGUAGGGAAUAUUGCGCAAUGGUCGAAAGACUGACGCAGCGACGCCGCGUGUGGGAGGAAGCCUUUCGGGGUGUAAACCACUGUCAGAUGGGAAGAACGACGCAUGUUCAAACAGGGCAUGCGCAUGACGGUACCAUCAGAGGAAGCGCCGGCUAACUCCGUGCCAGCAGCCGCGGUAAGACGGAGGGCGCAAGGUUGUUCGGAAUUACUGGGCGUAAAGCGCGGGCAGGUGGUCCGUUAAGUCUUCUGUGAAAACCCGGGGCUCAACUCCGGACAUGCAGGAGAUACUGGCGGGCUAGAGACCGGUAGAGGCUAGUGGAAUUCCUGGUGUAGCGGUGGAAUGUCUAGAUAUCAGGAAGAACACCGGUGGCGAAGCGGCUAGCUGGGCCGGGUCUGACACUCAUCCGCGAAAGCGUGGGGGAGCAAACAGGAUUAGAUACCCUGGUAGUCCACGCCGUAAACGAUGGGCACUAGGUGCCGGGCCUAUAGACGGGUUCGGUGCCGGGACUAACGCAUUAAGUGCCCCGCCUGGGGACUACGGCCGCAAGGCUGAAACUCAAAGGAAUUGACGGGGGCCCGCACAAGCGGUGGAGCAUGUGGUUAAAUUCGAAGCAACGCGCAGAACCU